CUGAACAAUGCUCAUGGUUUUGUUUCUUGCUGCCAGCUGGUGAAAGGUGUACAGGCAAAUUGAGCUGAUGAAGUCGGUGUUGCUGGUUUUCUACUGUUCUAUUGCAGGUUGCAGCAGCUUGUCGUUACUGUGUGCCUGUUGGAAAUUGAUAGUUCCGCGAGUCUUACUUCACUAUUAUGUCGUACUCCAGAUUUUGAAGCCCUCAUUAGAUCAAAUUCUUUACUGUCACUCUAGAGGUUGCGGUGCCCACUACAACGAUUUUUCAUUUAAGACGAUCUAAAAUUGAUUAAUUUGAGGUUAAUCCUUCGGCGCCGUUCUAUAGACUUGAUCCAUUUAGUGAAACAGAGAAAACAUUGCUGAAAUUCAAUGUAUAUGUUGGUAAAUGCAUAUCUGGGCUCCUUUCUUUUCUGUGACACCGUUUCCCGAACUAACCACUAACCAACGCCCGCCGGUGUCACUCACCCGCUGUCAUAACCAGGAGGAUGAGGCGGGCUCUGGUGCUGCCAUACAUGUACUAGUACUUCCGCUGCGACACACCUGUAAUCACUUACCACGGGAUUGUGCCCAGGUCUUUCUUGCGAGUCGCAAACGAAGUGUUGCGAGUGUACCAAAGGAAUGAAAAAGCUGCUGCAAGUCACUUUCUCGUCUUAAGAGCCCACUAGAGACUUUGGAACUUGGGGUUAACUUCUGGAGUAAAAAUAAGAUUGGAUGAGAAAUCUGUUUAAUUGGUCCAUCCAUCAAAUUGGCCUAGUAAGCCGAAGUCUUGAUGUAUUUGGUCUAUGGAUUUGGUCUUUGAAAUUGUUUUAUUAAUGUUAAUGGCUUGCUGGCUAGGAUACUGAAGAGUGAAGAGAACAUCUGGCGGCCAGAUUUGCUAGUUGUUGUGGCGUAGUGGAAGUAAGCUAGCCUCUUAAUCUAACUUCUUCUAAGUUCUAGUCUUCUUGGUUCCCCCUUCCCUGUUUAGUUGAAGUGUGGGUUUUGAAAAUAAAAGCCGUCAUUAUUAAAUUCAAUUAUCCUAUUACCGUUCAGAAAAUGCAUCUAUGUGCUCGUAUCAUAACCUUAAUAAAAAGUCGCAUAUUAAAAAACCUAUAGAAUAAUCUCCAGUAAAAAACCAUUUCGUCGUUUUAUCGUUUCAUAAAUACAGAGCAACAGUUGCAAAGCCAAUAUGUAUUUUGUGCAAGUAACAUAGGUUAAGUUGUUAUAUAUUUUUUACCUGUCCCAGAUUUAUCUCACCGGUAGCUUUUCACGAAGGAAUCUAUUUAGUAGGGCUUUUAGCCCAGACAACCUGUCACAUUCCAAUGCUUCCAAACCUGAGGAUCCAAUGAGCCAGUUAGGCAGUUACAUAAUAAUGUUGUUGUCAGAUAGGGUAGUGUGGAAAGAAUUUUUCAUCUUCACCAUCAUUUUGAGAUUUACUUAACAUUUGCUGUUGCCUUGUAGUAUGCUACGGGGAAUAGAAAUGCAUUCUGAAUAACUGGCAGGUUUACCUAACCAACUGGGUGUUUUCCUUUCAGCAAUCCACUGUCCAAGCACUGUUGCCCAGGUGCUGAAACGUCUGGUUGCAGACAAGGCACAUGAACCAGCCUUUAUCUUCAGAUGUAGAAGUUGGACUGGUGAAGUUGUGUGGUUGUUGAAGUGCGUUUGAUGUCAGCUGGGGUCGUUACCGACUUCGCAACCAGAUACUUUGCCAUUUGCAAUCGGAAUGAUCAGUUUAGUCGAGUUUUACGGUGAAAAUUUAGCCACGGCUUGAUUUUGAAAAGUGAUGAGGUAUUUCCACGCCAUCGACCAGGCUUAAUCGAAAGUGAACAAUUCUAAGGCAUCAUGCCGAAGAUCUUUUGUCUUUCUCCACGUGAUCGCUGCCGUGUCAUGAAGAUGCUUCUUUGAGAGGGUCUAUUGCAAGACAAAAAUGUGAUGAGAACAGGAAAUCUGAGUUGGUUAUAAACUUAUAAUGUACUUUAAAGAUAAAUCAAGUAGAGUUCAAGCUGCAGACGUGCCGGCCAGUUUGCAUGUCCUUCGCGCUUGAAGGUCACGGUGAACAUUACGUGUAAAACUGUCAAUGCGGUGGUGUAGAGGUUGGGUGAGAAAGGUAC
rnacentral:lncRNA from 1 species